UACGUAGGGUGCUAGCGUUAUCCGGAAUUACUGGGUGUAAAGGGCGUGUAGGCGGCACUGUAAGUCAGAUGUGAAAUCUCCCGGCUCAACCGGGAGCGUGCACCUGAUACUGCAGUACUUGAGUGAUAGAGGGGAAAGCGGAAUUCCUAGUGUAGCGGUAAAAUGCGUAGAUAUUAGGAGGAACACCAGUGGCGAAGGCGGCUUUCUGGUCUGUAACUGACGCUGAGGCUCGAAAGCGUGGGUAGCAAACAGG
rnacentral:rRNA from 1 species